rnacentral:rRNA from 1 species
AUACGGAGGAUGCGAGCGUUAUCCGGAUUUAUUGGGUUUAAAGGGUGCGUAGGCUGUGCGUUAAGUCAGGGGUGAAAUGCCGUCGCUCAACGACGGAGCUGCCCUUGAUACUGGCGUGCUGGAGUACGGAUGCCGUUGGAGGAAUGAGUGGUGUAGCGGUGAAAUGCUUAGAUAUCACUCAGAACACCGAUUGCGAAGGCAUCUGACGAAUCCGUCACUGACGCUGAGGCACGGAAGCGUGGGGAUAGAACAGGAUUAGAUACCCUGGUAUUCCACGCCGUAAACGAUGAUGACUAACCGUCGGCGAUAGACAGCCGGUGGCCAAGCGAAAGCGAUAAGUCAUCCACCUGGGGAGUACGUCGGCAACGAUGAAACUCAAAGGAAUUGACGGGG